rnacentral:rRNA from 1 species
AGUGAACGCUGGCGGUAGGCCUAGCACAUGCAAGUCGAACGGCAGCACAGUAAGAGCUUGCUCUUACGGGUGGCGAGUGGCGGACGGGUGAGGAAUACAUCGGAAUCUACUUUUUCGUGGGGGAUAACGUAGGGAAACUUACGCUAAUACCGCAUACGACCUACGGGUGAAAGCAGGGGAUCUUCGGACCUUGCGCGAUUGAAUGAGCCGAUGUCGGAUUAGCUAGUUGGCGGGGUAAAGGCCCACCAAGGCGACGAUCCGUAGCUGGUCUGAGAGGAUGAUCAGCCACACUGGAACUGAGACACGGUCCAGACUCCUACGGGAGGCAGCAGUGGGGAAUAUUGGACAAUGGGCGCAAGCUUGAUCCAGCCAUACCGCGUGGGUGAAGAAGGCCUUCGGGUUGUAAAGCCCUUUUGUUGGGAAAGAAAAGCAGCAGGUUAAUACCCCGCUGUUCUGACGGUACCCAAAGAAUAAGCACCGGCUAACUUCGUG